UAUUUGUGAGUGUGUUUGUGUGUGUGUGUGUAUGUGUGUGCGUAUGUGUUUGUGUGUGUGUGUGUGUGUACGCAUGUGUGUGUGUGCGCGCAUGUCGGGUGUGUGCGCAGUACUGUAUGUGCCUCUGGGUCUGUCCCAGGUGAAAAGGCUGCUGGGUAGAAGGGAGAUGGUGGCUGUCCUGUGAGCAGAGAGAGCGGGGUUUCCCCCCCUGAGGGACAGGGACUAUAAGCACAAAGACACGGGUUCCUCUGGUACUGUUCCGCGGGUCUGUCGCGUUACCGGACUGCGCUCCCUGUGCCUGACUGAACGGAGCGGGUGACUGAGCGCGGGACGAGUCCCGGCUUCCCUUUAAACGCCAGGCCGUGUCCCGGGGCAGAGCCAGACCGCGGUAGCUGGGUUAGGGUUAGGGUUAGGGUUAGGGUUAGGGUUAACCCUGUGCCUGACUGAACGGAGCGGGUGUCUGAGCGUGGGACGAGUCCCGGCUUCCCUUUAAACGCCAGGUCGUGUCCCGGGGCAGGGGCAGACCGCGGUAGCUGGGUUAGGGUUAGGGUUAGGGUUAGGGUUAACCCUGUGCCUGACUGAACGGAGCGGGUGUCUGAGCGUGGGACGAGUCCCGGCUUCCCUUUAAACGCCAGGCCGUGUCCCGGGGCAGAGCCAGACCGCGGUAGCUGGGUUUCCUCGCUCUGGCACCCAGCUGGGAAAAAUGAUUGUUCCGUUGGCCCGGCGCGGUGGCCUCCUCCGAUGCGGAAGUGGCGCUGAUUGGUUUUCUGACCGCUCUUCCGCGUUUUCCAGGAAUAUAGCGGUGACCUGCUGACCAGCGGCGCUUGUGUUUUUAAAACGGGGAUUUGAGCGCUGGACUAACUCUUAGAUCAGGUCACAUCCGUUAAUCAUUCAGGGGCUUUUCAGUCAAAUUCCUUUGGCCUUGUGUUCCUUACAUUUGCAGAUUCCGCCAUUUCACUGUUGUUGUUUUUUUAUUAUUUAGUUUUCUAAUCCUAGUUUGUAAAUAAAAAAGCAUUCUGGGUGAACCUCCUGCCGGUGCAAAAAUAUAAUGGGCCCCCGAUCGUCUGACAUCACGUGCACUGCUGCAAUAUUAUACAAAUACAUGGAGUCUACCUGUCCGUUAAUGGAGGCUUUUAAGUUGGCUGCAUGGCUGUAGGAGUAGGUUCCUGUUAUAUCUAUGUCGUUGUUUUUAAAAAAUAUUUUCUAGGAUUGCGAUAAUUUGUCUUGGUGUUUUAAUGCACACCGGUCAGAGUUCACCAACUCAAGUGUUACAGUGGGCACAUCCCCCCGCUUGCAGGCGAGUAAAACGCUGGUUGUUUAUUUUAGCGUAUGACACCGAACACAUCCCUCUCCCCCUUUGGGCCCGUUUAUAUCUUGCAGGUUAGUUGACCGGACCUCACUGCUCAUUAAUGCGUGUGUAUUAUUAGAAAAUUGAGCAGAAAGUAAUUGGCACCUAAUGCUUUCACGCCACUUUGGAAUGAAGUAAGAAAAUGGCAGUAAGUUGUCUACCUGACAGGCUUCCCUCCAGUGAGUGCAGGUCUGUACAGGGAGGAGAUUCUCCCUGCCCACCGGCAUCAUGCCCAUCCCCUCACACUGUAUGCUAGCCGCAUGGUCAGGCUUGUGAUUUACCGAUUCUGUUGUGAAUGAUUAGAUAAACAUUUUGUUCCUGAGCCAGAUUGGGAGUUGGUCCCAGAGACCGGCGUACCACUCCUGCUCUUUACCCAGAGUGCAGUGCAGCGGUCGUCCCACGCAGUGAUUGGGUUACACAACUCGCUCUGAUGGUGCGCAGCUGCUGAUAACGAGGUAAAUAAUUACCCAGCGGAUAUUAUUCCAAAAUUUGUGUAACCUUUCGGCGGCUUUGGCUCCUCGCGUUAUUGCAUGUGGCCAAAAAGCAGAGACUUGAGCCGGGGCAGUAUUACCCAGCAUGCUUUUCCUGACGUGACCGCGCGCUUGGCUUAUUGCUGCCGCUCUGGCGCUGUUUAAUAUCGGAGAGCCCGUUAUCCUCUCAUUACUGUGCGUCGCCCUCAGGGAGUCAUUUCUGAAACCACUUUCGUGCAAUCGCUGAGUCUUCACCCCACUGAGAGGAGGGGUGUGGUUUUUGUUUUGUGUUGUCGAACUGGCAGUAGCUCCAUUUCUCAAACAUUCUUUCCAAGGCAUUGUCCCGGUGGCCCGUACGCCGUUCCUACGCGUGUACCCUCCUAACGCCCAGACUGGCUCUCAGAGUCCAGCCCACCGCUGCUCGCUUUGUCCCCGAGUUCCAGCGAUGGAGUUUAAACCGGGUUUGAGCUGUCCCCCCCUCGUGCCCCCACGUCGCCUCUACGCCAGCCGCUGAACCCUCUGCGGAACGUUCCGGAAAAAAACCCAGAAAGGCUCCCUGAAGAGCCGUUCAGAGGUAGGAUCAGCGCGCUGGGGCUGUUUGUGAAUGGACCUCAGGUCCUGAUGAAGUUCAGAGGUAGGAUCAGCGCGCUGGGGCUGUUUGUGAAUGGACCUCAGGUCCAAAUUCAGUGUCCCACAGUAAGUCCGUUGCCUGGUAGUUAUUUAUCCCGUUGAGUCAGUUACAUGAGCCACAGACCCCCCACAGAAGGUGGAUAUUUUUACGGGGUGGUGUUGGGUGCUUGUCCCUCUACUGUGGAAGAGAUUGCUACUGUGAUCCUUAUGUCCGUAUAAUUAGUUGGCAUAAAAAAAUCUAUAAUAACAGGCGAUUUGACCUCCAGUAUGAGGCAGGGCCUUGGCAACACCAGACUGCUACAAGUUGGUCACCUGUCCAGGUGUGUUUGUGAUCGAUUGUGCUUCUCCACUCAUGGAGUCUAGAAUAUGUGUCUAAAGCUGAGAGAGCUUUGCCAAAUGCGUGUAUCAGAGUUUGGAAAAUGUAGUUUGGGGAGGGGGGGGGUGUCAAAGUAUUUGUACCAAUACCAUCAAUUCAGAGCACCAUCAACUUCGUAGCUCGAUCACGUGACUGAAUCUGUGUCGGAACAUUUGGUUGUUGCUUUCGUUUGUUUUAUUUGCUGUUUGCAGCAUCAUCUGUGAAAUGUCUCUGUGCGCUUGGUUAGGUAGGGACCUGCUGAUGUAAUCAUAAUGCAUAUGAGGUCUAUAUGUAUUUCUGUAUACGGAUAUGAGAACUGCCCGAUUCUUAUCAGCUUGUGAAACUCAGUGCCAUUGAGGUAUUUUUUUUAAUGUGUUUAUAAUUUUUUUCAGUUUUGUUUUUAAUGCCUCCUUUUGUGACGUUGAGGGGGGGGAGGGGGGGGGUUAGGUGAGGUGAUGUACGUCCUGCACGUAUAAAACUGGAAUCUCACGCACAUGCUCAGUCUCCUCUCUCUGCCUGAUGAUGGUAAUGUGCACUUCGUGUGGAUAACAGUAACUCGUGUGCCAUACGGUUGUCCGACUGCCAGUGAAAGUCGACGUGUUACGGUUGCGUGUAAGAUUAGCUAGUUUGGGUCCACAAUGUCAAAUACAAGCAAAGUGUUUUUUCAUGUGGAGCAGGGGUGUCAGACUCCAGUCCUGGGGGGUCGCACUGCCUCCUGGUUUUCAAUGAGUUUCAGCAAGAGAUUUAUUUUGGUCACUGUUUGGGUUAAGAUUCCACAUACCCUGUUCUCAAUGCUAAGUGGCUUCAGACUGAAAGAAAACUACAAAUACCUGCAGGCACUGCACUCCCUCCAGGACUGGAGUUAAACCUUCAGUCACAGCGCCCCCUCCAGGACUGGAGUUAAACCUGCAGUCACAGCGCCCCCUCCAAGACUGGAGUUAAACCUUCAGUCACAGCGCCCCCUCCAGGACUGGAGUUAAACCUGCAGACACAGCGCCCCCUCCUGGACUGGAAGGUGACACCACUGACGCAGAGUGUAUAUCCGUUAUGAGUACACCUCGCUGUUAGCCCCAGCAGCGUUAGUUAGCGCCAUCUUUAUAAGGUCCUAUCGAACGCAGAGCCUGGCAGCACUCCCGCGGUCCUCUACCAUGCCGUUCCAGAAGGGGGCAGUGUUAGGGAGCACUCUGUAUAACAGGUUAAUUAAGGACACUGCUGCAGCAUGUGCUGAGUGUGAAUGGCGCCCCCUGGUGGCCGUGGUGGUGAUAACUAUGACAUGAAUAACUGCACAGUGUUCUGUUCCUCUAUACAUCUCUCUCCAUCUCUCCAUCUCCUCAUCGCUCUCUCUCUCUCGCUCUCUCUCUCCCCUGUACCCUGGACUCUUCUCUGCUUCCCGUCUGUCUCCGUAUGUGCCUGUGAAACUCUACGUUCACUCUGGCCUUCUGUGUAACUUUUCAGUUUGAAAAUCUAUAUUUUUUUGCAUAAGCACUGUACUUCAAUAAAUAAUGUUUUGUUUGGUUA